UGAGAAGGGAUGCGGACGUGAAUAACUCGAGAUGAAAGUUGGUGGUAUUUUCUUACUUGCAAUGUGCUUUUUGUGGACACACAUCCAGCAUACUGAAAAUACCCAACUUAUGACGUCGGGGGAUAAUAAAGUUGGUUACAUUAAGGACGUGCGACGACAAAUUGGUGUAGUAUUUGCUGUAAAAUCCAAAUACAACCCACAAAUAUGGCUGUUUAAAGAAAUGACAAAUGUGGGAUCAUUUAGAAUUGGUGUGCAAGAAUUAUUCGUACAGAUAGAGAUUGGAUGUACAUAUGACAAUUACGACUACAAUGACGUAAACAUUACAGACUUCGAUGAGUUUAAAUGGCAUUGGAUAUCAUGGGAAGCGGAUAACUUUGCUAUAGGUACGGGUCAAGUGGUGGGUUUAAAUGUUGUUGGAAAAGCUCUAAGUUAUGUUCCUGCAGUUUCAUAUCUUGGAUUCGGUAAUCUGGACGGUGGAGUAGUGCAUUGGAAGUUCGAUCAGACUGAUGAACGCAUUAAAACCACACGGUUUGAUUUAAUGGAGAAUACCCGGACUACACCUGUUAACACGACUCUUACAGCCUUGUCCAAAAGCCAGUGUUCUCUGGAAUGCAACCAGAAGAAUGGUUGCUAUGGUUUCAACUACAUGCCAACUGCUUCAAUUGAUAAUUGUGAAUUAAUAACGCAAACAAGUGACGGUUCCGAUUGUACUGUGCAGUGGAAUCUGACAAUGGAACAUAAUGUUGAUACUAGCUAUGGUUACUAUCAUAUUUAACAGUGGUGGCACUAUUUUGCAGUUACCACUUUGUCCAACAGAUUAAUGAACGGGUUUGCAGGUACGAAAAAGAUAACAGAAUGACUAUAGGUGACGGUAUAAAAUCCGAAAUCAAUGUAAACAUUCAAUGGUCUAAACUUAAUUUAUUUACUUUUUUUUAGAUAAAUAAAGUAACUUGAUUGUAAAUAUAUAUUAUGGCAUAUCGCAUAUAGCGUUUUAUAGUUAAUCGAUUUUAAUGAAUAAAAGUAAUUGGCACGUGUUA